AUUGAACGCUGGCGGCAGGCCUAACACAUGCAAGUCGAGCGAGCGGCGGACGGGUGAGUAAUGUAUGGGGACUGCCCGAUAGAGGGGGAUAACUACUGGAAACGGUGGCUAAUACCGCAUACUAUUGGAUAACCCAUAUGGGAUUAGCUAGUAGGUGGGGUAAAGGCUCACCUAGGAGACGAUCUCUAGCUGGUCUGAGAGGUGGAUCGGCCAAACUGGGACUGAACCACGGCCCAGACUCCUAGGGAGGCGGCAGUGGGGAAUAUUGCACAAGGGGCGCAAGCCUGAUGCAGCCAGGCCGCGUGUAUGAAGAAGGCCUUAGGGUUGUAAAGUACUUUCAGCGGGGAGGCGUUACCCGCAGAAGAAGCACCGGCUAACUCCGUGCCAGCAGCCGCGGUAUUC
rnacentral:rRNA from 1 species